rnacentral:lncRNA from 1 species
AAUAGACUAUUUUUCUAGAACAGUUUUAGGUUCACAGCAAAAUUGAGAGUAAGAUAUAGAGAUUUCCCAUAUAUCCCCUAUCCCCAUACAUGCAUAGCCUCCUCCACUAUCAACAUCUCCCACGAGGGUGGGAAAUUUUUACAACUGAUGAACCUACAUUGACAAAUUAUCUUAACAUAAAGUCCACAGUUUACAUUAGGGUUCAUGCUUAGUGUUGUACAUUCUAUGGGUUUGGACAAACGUAUGAUGACAUGAUAACAUGUAUCAACCCUUACAGUAUCACACAGUGAAUUUUCACUGCAAAAAUCCCUUAUGCUAUGCCUGUUUAUCUCUCCCUCCACCACCAACCCCUGGCAACCACUGAUCUCUUUAUUGUCUCCAUAGUUUUACCUUUUUUCAUACAGUAUGUAGCCUUUUCAGAUUGGUUUCUUUCAAUUAAUAAUAUGCAUUUAAGGUUCUUUCAUGGCUUGAUAGCUCAUUUUGUUUUUGGCAUUUGUUUGGAUUUGCCAGUUUAUCCAUUCACCCACUGAACG